AGUGGCGAACGGGUGCGUAACACGUGAGAAACCUGCCCCGGUCUCUGGAAUAACAGUUGGAAACGACUGCUAAUACCGGAUGCCGUCGGACCAUCGCAUGGUGGACCGACGAAAGGGUUACCGGACUGGGAGGGUCUCGCGGCCUAUCAGCUUGUUGGUGAGGUAACGGCUCACCAAGGCAUCGACGGGUAGCUGGUCUGAGAGGAUGGUCAGCCACACUGGGACUGAGACACGGCCCAGACUCCUACGGGAGGCAGCAGUAGGGAGUAUUGCACAAUGGGCGAAAGCCUGAUGCAGCAACGCCGCGUGCGGGAAGAAGGCCCUAGGGUUGUAAACCGCUUUCAGCAGGGAAGAAAAUGACGGUACCUGCAGAAGAAGGUGCGGCCAACUGCGUGCCAGCAGCCGCGGUGACACGUAGGCACCAAGCGUUGUCCGGAUUUAUUGGGCGUAAAGAGCUCGUAGGCGGUUCAGUUAGUCGGGUGUGAAAACUCUGGGCUUAACCCAGAGACGCCACUCGAUACUGCUGUGACUAGAGUGCGGUAGGGGAGCGGGGAAUUCCUAGUGUAGCGGUGAAAUGCGCAGAUAUUAGGAGGAACACCAGUGGCGAAGGCGCCGCUCUGGGCCGUAACUGACGCUGAGGAGCGAAAGCGUGGGUAGCAAACAGGAUUAGAUACCCAGGUAGUCCACGCCGUANACGUUGGGCACUAGGUGUGGGUCCCAACCAACGAGAUCCGCGCCGUCGCUAACGCAUUAAGUGCCCCGCCUGGGGAGUAC
rnacentral:rRNA from 1 species